rnacentral:rRNA from 1 species
UACGUAGGGUGCAAGCGUUAUCCGGAAUUACUGGGCGUAAAGCGUGCGCAGGCGGUCUGUUAAGACCGAUGUGAAAUCCCCGGGCUUAACCUGGGAACUGCAUUUGUGACUGCACGGCUGGAGUGCGGCAGAGGGGGAUGGAAUUCCGCGUGUAGCAGUGAAAUGCGUAGAUAUGCGGAGGAACACCGAUGGCGAAGGCAAUCCCCUGGGCCUGCACUGACGCUCAUGCACGAAAGCGUGGGGAGCAAACAGG